rnacentral:rRNA from 1 species
GGCGGCAGGCCUAACACAUGCAAGUCGAGCGCACUCUUCGGAGUGAGCGGCGGACGGGUUAGUAACGCGUGGGAAUAUGCCCUUCUCUAAGGAAUAGCCACUGGAAACGGUGAGUAAUACCUUAUACGCCCUUCGGGGGAAAGAUUUAUCGGAGAAGGAUUAGCCCGCGUAAGAUUAGAUAGUUGGUGGGGUAAUGGCCUACCAAGUCUACGAUCUUUAGCUGGUUUUAGAGGAUGAUCAGCAACACUGGGACUGAGACACGGCCCAGACUCCUACGGGAGGCAGCAGUGGGGAAUCUUGGACAAUGGGCGCAAGCCUGAUCCAGCCAUGCCGCGUGAGUGAUGAAGGCCUUAGGGUCGUAAAGCU